rnacentral:tRNA from 1 species
GGGCGAUUGGCUCAGCGGUAGAGCGCUUCGUUCACACCGAAGAGGUCACUGGUUCGAUCCCAGUAUCGCCCAC